CAUGCAUUUCUAUUUAAAAGAAUUAACUAAGACUUUUGAUGUAUAUAAUUUUCCUAAAUAAUUAAUGUUAAUGUAAUUGUUUUAGUAUCACAAAACUGGCCGUCAACAUCUUCCCGCGCUCCGUAGCUUUCCGCGGGAAAUCGCCCCCUCCCUGGCCCGUUUGCCAGGGAGAUUCGUCAGUAGCCUUCCAGCACUCAUCAGGGCAGGCAGCUCCGCGUACGUGGAGCCUUCACCUCUCGCGCCAAAAUCAGCAUGUAGCUUCAAUAGCCCGCCGAGGUGCCAGCACUUCACGCCUGAAUCACUCCGACAGGAAAAUUGAACUUUGGCCACGCGGGGCAGCAUUACGCCUAAAGCGAACAUUGACUCUCUAACACAUCAGUUCCUGGGAAGUGCCGCGGUCGCGAGUGAGUUUCCACAUCAGGUACCACUGCGCCCGCACCCAGCUUAACGUGGCCCCACGCCACCACGAGGACGAACUCUCGAUAAUUAUAUUAAUUUCCCUGAGCGGUACCGCCGUCUCAGUAUCAUCCCGAUCUCCGGGACAUUUCCAUGGUAAACUCUAUUUCCGGGUUUAAAUGUUAGUAUUAGCUUCCGCCAUCAGCCAUGUAUAGUGUAUAAUUUCAUUGUUUUGUCUAAGUCAUUUAAUAAGUGACUAGUAAGCUAUCCUUGUAUCUCACCUUCCGGACUACCACUCUCCUUUAACAGCUAGAUUCGCCACGUGCCUUCAUCGUCGUCACUAUCCAUCUCAAGAUAGCGUACGACCCUCGGUGGGUUAGUCCUCAGGAAUUCCGCUAGACGUGAAUCAGUACCGCCAAUUGAGGGCCAUGUGUGCGGAGAUGAGAAGGUAGACAAUGAUACAGCCAGUUACGUGAAGAUGUACUGUACCAGGUGAAGUACUGUAUGUGUGACGUGUCAAUAAAAUCGGUUAUGUUUACGUGUGCUUUUAAUAGUUACAGCGUCCUAGGUGGCCUCAACAGCCCGGGGAGUCCUUUGUCGACGCGUCCCUGCCUGCAGCCACGAGGCAAAGAACCCUGCCCUUGAGUCAAAAUCCUUGUUCAUGUAAUUUAAAUCCAGUAUUUUAAGACAGGCAGCGAGACGGCGUCACAUUGUUCAUAAAUAUAAGUUGGAACAGAAAAACUACAUAUACUAAAUAAUAAAGUGGUCAUGUAGUUGAGCAGUUAACUUAUAGCACUAUCUGAGAUAUAAACUAUCUAUUUCAAAAGCCUCAUUACAAUAUCAAUAAA